GACGAACGCUGGCGGCGUGCUUAACACAUGCAAGUCGAACGGAAAGGCCCUGCUUUUGUGGGGUGCUCGAGUGGCGAACGGGUGAGUAACACGUGAGUAACCUGCCCUUGACUUUGGGAUAACUUCAGGAAACUGGGGCUAAUACCGGAUAGGAGCUCCUGCUGCAUGGUGGGGGUUGGAAAGUUUCGGCGGUUGGGGAUGGACUCGCGGCUUAUCAGCUUGUUGGUGGGGUAGUGGCUUACCAAGGCUUUGACGGGUAGCCGGCCUGAGAGGGUGACCGGCCACAUUGGGAGUGAGAUACGGCCCAGACUCCUACGGGAGGCAGCAGUGGGGAAUAUUGCACAAUGGGCGGAAGCCUGAUGCAGCAACGCCGCGUGCGGGAUGACGGCCUUCGGGUUGUAAACCGCUUUCGCCUGUGACGAAGCGUGAGUGACGGUAAUGGGUAAAGAAGCACCGGCUAACUACGU
rnacentral:rRNA from 1 species